rnacentral:rRNA from 1 species
GACAAACGCUGGCGGCGUGCUUAACACAUGCAAGUCGAACGAUGAAAGGAGAAGGAACUCUUCGGAGGGAAUUCUUUUGGAAUAGUGGCGGACGGGUGAGUAAUACAUGAGCAAUCUGCCUUUCACAGAGGGAUAGCCUCGGGAAACUGGGAUUAAUACCACAUAAAGCUUGACACUCGCAUGAGUAUCAGGUCAAAGAUUUAUCGGUGAAAGAUGAGCUCAUGACUGAUUAGCUAGUUGGUGAGGUAACGGCUCACCAAGGCUGCGAUCGGUAGCCGGACUGAGAGGUUGAACGGCCACAUUGGAACUGAGACACGGUCCAAACUCCUACGGGAGGCAGCAGUGGGGAAUAUUGCACAAUGGAGGGAACUCUGAUGCAGCGACGCCGCGUGAGCGAAGAAGGUUUUCGGAUCGUAAAGCUCUGUCCUAUGGGAAGAUAGUGACGGUACCGUAGGAGGAAGCCCCGGCUAACUACGUGCCAGCAGCCGCGGUAAUACGUAGGGGGCAAGCGUUGUCCGGAUUUAUUGGGCGUAAAGGGUGCGCAGGCGGUCUAUUAAGUCAGAUGUAAAAUACCGAGGCUCAACCUCGGGGAGCAACUGAAACUUUUAGACUUGAGUUAAGGAGAGGGAAGUGGAAUUCCUAGUGUAGCGGUGAAAUGCGUAGAUAUUAGGAAGAAUACCGGUGGCGAAGGCGACUUUCUGGACUUAAACUGACGCUGAGGCACGAAAGUGUGGGGAGCAAACAGGAUUAGAUACCCUGGUAGUCCACACUGUAAACGAUGAGUGCUAGGUGUCGGGGGUCAAACCUCGGUGCCGCAGCUAACGCAUUAAGCACUCCGCCUGGGGAGUACGUUCGCAAGAAUGAAACUCAAAGGAAUUGACGGGGACCCGCACAAGCAGCGGAGCAUGUGGUUUAAUUCGAAGCAACGCGAAGAACCUUACCGGGGCUUGACAUCUAUCUGCAAUCCUCAGAGAUGGGGAAUUUCUUCGGAACGGAUAGACAGGUGGUGCAUGGUUGUCGUCAGCUCGUGUCGUGAGAUGUUGGGUUAAGUCCCGCAACGAGCGCAACCCUUGUUGUUAGUUGCCAUCAUUAAGUUGGGCACUCUAACAAGACUGCCGGUGACAAACCGGAGGAAGGUGGGGAUGACGUCAAAUCAUCAUGCCCCUUAUGUCUUGGGCUACACACGUGCUACAAUGGUCGGUACAGAGGGCAGCAAGAGAGUGAUCUUGAGCGAAUCUCAAAAAGCCGAUCCCAGUUCGGAUUGUAGGCUGCAACUCGCCUACAUGAAGUCGGAAUCGCUAGUAAUCGCAGGUCAGCAUACUGCGGUGAAUACGUUCCCGGGCCUUGUACACACCGCCCGUCACACCACGAAAGUUGGUAACACCCGAAGUCGGUGAUCUAACCUGCAAAGGAGGAAGCCGCCCACGGUGGGAUCGAUGAUUGGGGUG